UACGUAGGGUGCAAGCGUUGUCCGGAAUUAUUGGGCGUAAAGAGCUCGUAGGCGGUUUGUCGCGUCUGGUGUGAAAAUCCAGGGCUUAACCCUGGACCUGCAUCGGGUACGGGCAGACUAGAGUGCGGUAGGGGAGAUCGGAAUUCCUGGUGUAGCGGUGAAAUGCGCAGAUAUCAGGAGGAACACCGGUGGCGAAGGCGGAUCUCUGGGCCGUAACUGACGCUGAGGAGCGAAAGCAUGGGGAGCGAAUGGG
rnacentral:rRNA from 1 species